AUUGAACGCUGGCGGCAGGCCUAACACACGCAAGUCGAGCGAGCGGCGGACGGGUGAGUAAUGUCUGGGAAACUGCCUGAUGGAGGGGGAUACCUACUGGAAACGGUAGCUAAUACCGCAUACAGUCGAGUGUACCCAGAUGGGAUUAGCUAGUAGGUGGGGUAACGGCUUACCUAGGCGACGAUCCCUAGCUGGUCUGAGAGGAUGAUCAGUCACACUGGAACUGAGACACGGUCCAGACUCCUACGGGAGGCAGCAGUGGGGAAUAUUGCACAAUGGGCGAAAGCCUGAUGCAGCCAUGCCGCGUGUAUGAAGAAGGCCUUCGGGUUGUAAAGUACUUUCAGCGGGGAGGCGUUACCCGCAGAAGAAGCACCGGCUAACUCCGUGCCAGCAGCCGCGGUAAUUC
rnacentral:rRNA from 1 species